rnacentral:lncRNA from 1 species
CCAUAUUCAAACAUUAAAAAAAGAGACUUGCAUUACAGUACGAUAAUCCCAAAAGUUUACAUACCACUCUUCAUGUUUAGCAUGGUUCGGUUGACCUAAAAAUACACACAACAGCGAACAUUUCAGAGAAUUUGGAUUGUAAUUUAUAGUGCAGAAGAGGAAUAUACAAAAUGGGUUCGUUGCGGCCCCUGACUGACGAGGGAGAAAAUGUUUUUUUUUUUUUUUUUUUUUUUUUAUAAAUACUGCCAGAAUCAACUCAUCCAGUUUGUACAGUUAAUAGGGACCAGCGUCAACCGAGCGAUGAUUGAGAACGCUCACCAACGGCGCCGCGCAAUUCUGACGAGGCAUGGACAGGAAGGGAACGAACCGCCGGAGCAGUCAGCAGCCCCGUGUUCCCGAUCUUAGCUUUUGUCAUCGGGCUGGACACAUGCGAGGAGCGCCAUACGAUCAAUAGUCAGGAGGGAGAGAGAAAGGGAGAGAGGAACGAGCGAUUUUAUGUAUAGAUUUCUGUGUCACAGGAAGUCAGGA